rnacentral:tRNA from 1 species
AGCCCUGAGGUGUUUUACAUAUUAGAUUGCAAAUCUAAAGAAGCAGGCUAAUCCCCUGCCGGGGCUU